rnacentral:rRNA from 1 species
AGAGUUUGAUCCUGGCUCAGGACGAACGCUGGCGGCGUGCCUAAUACAUGCAAGUCGAACGAGAGCGACCGAUGCUUGCACUGGUCAAUCUAGUGGCGAACGGGUGAGUAACACGUGGGUAACCUGCCCAUCAGAGGGGGAUAACAUUCGGAAACGGAUGCUAAAACCGCAUAGGUCUUCGAACCGCAUGGUUUGAAGAGGAAAAGAGGCGCAAGCUUCUGCUGAUGGAUGGACCCGCGGUGCAUUAGCUAGUUGGUGAGGUAACGGCUCACCAAGGCCGUGAUGCAUAGCCGACCUGAGAGGGUGAUCGGCCACAUUGGGACUGAGACACGGCCCAAACUCCUACGGGAGGCAGCAGUAGGGAAUCUUCCGCAAUGGACGCAAGUCUGACGGAGCAACGCCGCGUGAGUGAAGAAGGUUUUCGGAUCGUAAAACUCUGUUGUUAGAGAAGAACAAGUGCUAGAGUAACUGUUAGCGCCUUGACGGUAUCUAACCAGAAAGCCACGGCUAACUACGUGCCAGCAGCCGCGGUAAUACGUAGGUGGCAAGCGUUGUCCGGAUUUAUUGGGCGUAAAGCGAGCGCAGGCGGUUCCUUAAGUCUGAUGUGAAAGCCCCCGGCUCAACCGGGGAGGGUCAUUGGAAACUGGGGAACUUGAGUGCAGAAGAGGAGAGUGGAAUUCCAUGUGUAGCGGUGAAAUGCGUAGAUAUAUGGAGGAACACCAGUGGCGAAGGCGACUCUCUGGUCUGUAACUGACGCUGAGGCUCGAAAGCGUGGGUAGCAAACAGGAUUAGAUACCCUGGUAGUCCACGCCGUAAAC